UAGAAGCUAGGAGUCUCUUUCGUUGCUUUCAAACGCUACAGUAGAGCGCGCGUGCGCGUACAAAUCCAUACAUAUCCUCUCCAAUACGUGUCUCUCUCUCUCUCUCUCUCUCUUUCUCUUUGUACAUACGUGUACUUAUGUGAGAGUGCAAUAUCAACUGACUAAAAGUACCAGAAACGUUGAAGCAGGUGAGGGUACACCUAGCGAUUAAAAUUUUACAUCCGAAGACAAAAUUGUUCGACAGAGCGGCCAUUUUUCCUUUUCAGGGGCCCCAAUGUGGCCCACCAAGUGGAAGUACGACGUGUGCCUGCUACCGGCCGCGCCUUUGGAUUCCUCAAAGUCCACCGUAGCAGCUCUCGAAUUCCUAUCGAAGUAUCAGCCUGUAUAAUCUUCUCAUCAUUGUGUGUGUGUAUGUGUUUGUGUACGUAUGUGUAUGCGAACAAUCUAGUAGUGCGUUGCUCAAAGAGCAGACUCCUUGAUACGUGCCGCGAGUUUGCGAUCACGAGGCUACACGUGCAGAAAGAGAGAGAGAGAGAGAUUCUCUUUGGAGGAGACUACGCCACUGUGGAACGCCGCAUACCGAAGAAGAGAAAGAGAGAGAGAGAGACAGAGACGGAGUGAGGGAACUGGGGAGGGGAGGAGGUGGGGGGAUAGAAAAGGUGCAAGCAAGUCGAAGGUAGGAACGUCGUAUGAGACCGACGAGGACGAACGAGAGGUUAAGAACGUGUAAGAGGAAGAGAGACAGAGGUAGGCAAGAUUCAGAAUAGAGUGGGGACCCGUAAGAAGGCGGCCAUAAUGGCCUGACGCCGAUCUCAGCGAACAGCGGCUACAGCUGCUGCGAAAUAUCCAAGCGACUCUCUCUGCUUGCUCGAGUCCCGUCGGAGCACGCCUCUUAUUUUGCAACUAGCAGAAUCCAUCGUCGUCGUCUUUGGAAAGUGGCUGCGUAAUCGUGAGUGUAGUGCUUGUUGGUAUACCUACAAUCUCUAUCUCUUUUGUGUAAGUGCCUGGUUAAGUUUGUUGUGUAUUAAUAAAAGAGAAAGAGAGAGAGAGAGAGGUUCCUUUCCUGAUCUUUUCUCAAGUAAUUGGGAAAAAAUGGCAGAGUGAUCCAGUGUUCCGUCUAAAUUUACGGUGACUUGAAUACUCGAUCGAGGAGUGUUCUGGUCCAAUUACCUGCAAAGUUUCAUUGGGAUUAAAUUAUUAAAAAUAUUAAAAGAAUGCGGGGUGCUAAUCAAGAAACAGCUACACCGUAUUGCCGGUGCAGAGUAUUGUACCUUGGUAGUUCGGUACCUCAUGCUAGUAAAGAAGGUUUGUUGGGUGUUCAAGAACCUUUGAGAGAAUUAUAUCCAGAACAAGGAGCGUUGGGUGCUCGUGGGAUUGACUCCUGGUUAAGUGUAUGGAGCAACGGUUUGCUGUUGGAGAACGUCGAUGAACAUCGCAAGAAGGUCACCAGGUUCUUUCCUAUCGAAGCACUUCACUAUUGUGCUGCUGUGAGACAUGUGAAGGGUGGUAACGGAGAUUCUUCAACUACGAGAUUCCUGCCUCUCGACUCGCCUUUCGCCAGGACGCCGAGCGCCAAUCAUCCGCCGCUCUUCGCGGCCGUCUUGAGAAGAACGACCGGUAUCAAGGUCCUCGAAUGUCAUGCAUUCAUUUGCAAACGCGAUAUGGCGGCCAACGCCCUAGUAAGAUGUUGUUUCCAUGCUUACGCCGAUAGUAGUUAUGCUAAGGGAUUAGAACCAUCAACAGGAACAACGAACGGAAUGACAACUGGCAAUCCAUCGAACAAUAGUCUCUAUCAUACUUUGGGUGGGUCCAGCACGACUCUGGACAAUCCACAGGCUAAUCGUCUGGAUGCUUCAUCGACGGACGACCUUAGUCUUUACAAUGGCGACGAGAAUCACAAGGUUUGGGCUAGGGGUCGUGACGAGAUGGACGGUGUCUAUCAAGAACAAGGAACCUUGAGAAGUACUAAAGGUUCCAGACCACGGCAACUGGUUGCACCACCUCCACCACCACCACCACCUCCUCCUCCACCUUCUCAACCUUUGCUGGUCGAGGAAUCUACUUCUUCUGCUACCAGGAGAAAGACUAACAAAAAAUUGAAGAAGUUGAAGACUCGAGCGUUGCACGAAGACGCGAUGCAGCAGCAACAAUUGCAUCAUCAGGUGCAUCAAGGGAUGUAUACCAACGGCCAUGGCCAUCAUACUCUCGGACAUCCAAUUAGACAACAACAUUAUCAUCCACAUCCGUUACCACCUAGUAGUCGAUCCGUUGCUGGAACUUUAGCCAGACCAGCACCUGUCUUGCUGGUACCAGCCGCUACACUACCGAGAAAAGCGCAUCAACAUCAUCCCAGAGGACUGAGGCCGAUCCCAGCAGCAGCACCGAUUGUUCCAGUUUACGCUCCGCUCCCAGUAGUUCCACCUCCUGUCGCAGCGGCCAUUUAUCCAAGCGGAACGUAUGGGACUGCUGGUAACAGAGGUAAAAGGCAUUCCGAAGUAGAAGGCUCUACUCUAGGUGCUUCUAGAAGAUUAGCAGCCUCCCACGCCGAUUUAACGUCGACUGAGCUUGGAAAAUCGGCUGAUAGUCCGGAAAACGAGUCACGAUUUGGUACUGGGAUCUACCGGCGGAAAGGUCACUUGAACGAACGGGCCUUUUCUUACAGCAUUCGCGCGGAACAUCGUAGUAGGAGUCACGGUAGUUUAGCUUCUUUGGGUUUCAGUGCGCAGAACGGUAACGCAUUGCCCAAAGAGGAGAAGAAGGAUCGAGAGAUAGCUCAACUGGUGGCAGGAUUAAAUUUGGAUGAAAGUCCAAACGAUCGAGUUCAACCUGUACCGACAUCUAGAGCCGGACCAUAUUCUCAUCAUCAUCAUCAGCAACAGCAACAGCAACUUCAUCAGCAACAGCAACAGCAACAACAUAUGCAACCUUUACCUAGGCCACGACCUCGUUAGGUACAUCUAGCUUACAUCAAUCGUUUCACAUAUCCUUCAACGUCGACGUUCUUGCUUCUUGCGUUUAUUUUCGAUCGAGUUACGCUAUGGGAGAGCUGCUAUUGGACCGAAGCAACAUUCUGCUUCGACGUGGGCGUCUUCUUUUGUGGCAUUCGAGCGGAACAGCUUAGCAGAGGUUAUCAUGCUGUCCCAAGUACACUGCUGCUACUGCUAGUCGAUCAAACUGAUUUCACAUUCUAUCAUUCGAGAUAACCUGGAAAGAAAAUAAUACAGUAGUUAUCGGAAAGUGGACUGAUAAAACGAAUGACGUAACAAUCUUUAGUCCUAGGGAAACGAGUAAGGACUAAUUAGACGAGCCAGGAUUAAUUAUUUUAGGAUUAAUACAACGAAGGAUCGUUCUGUUGGUUCAAGCUCGUUAAAUGAAGGCACGGAGCAUGUAAGAGCUGGCCUACCUCCUAACGUUUUCUUUCAGAAAAUGUCUCUGUUAUUGUUUUACAAUGGUUACUACAAUGGUACUAUCAUCGAAUAUCAAAUUAUUUCAUUACGUAUGAAUUUUACAUAUAUACAUACACCCACACACGUAUGUAUCUAUGUAAUUUCAUUAUUAAAGACACAUCUCUUAUUUCAAUUGUGUUAUUUUAUUUUUAUUAUUUUUUUUACUUAUGCGAGGAGGACCAACAUCGUAAUCCUGUGCCAAAACUCUUUUUUUUUUUAAACAAAUGGUACAUCUGUUCCGUAAUAAAUAAAUAAAUAAAUAAAUAAAUAAAUAAAUAAAUAAAUAAAAUAGGAAGUCGAGUGAUCAUGAGCUAAUUUUUUUUAUUUAUCUAAUCGCAAGUGCCAGAGAAAGAGAAAGAGAGAUAGAGAUAGGAUCAUCCUGUGCUAAAAUAAAUAAAUAAAUAAAUAAAUAAAUAAUUAAUUAAUUAAAUAAAAAAAAAUAUGAAAUACGCGAUUGUUCGCUUUGUGCGAUCGUGCGAAAAAGCAGAGAUAGGUAAAGAAGGAAUCACGCGUGAACGUGGAUCAUAAAUAUUUAUCGCACAACGUUAAUGUAAAAAAGAAAAAGAGAGAGAGAAAGAAAGAAAGAAAAAAAAAAACACAUAUUGAAUUUCUUAACGCUGUUUCUCUAGUCGCGGCUUACA